GCAGCCAUAGUUCAGUGGUAGAACGAUAGCUUCCCAAGCUGUAUAUGCGGGUCCGAUUCCCGUUGGCUGCUCCA
rnacentral:tRNA from 1 species